GACAGGCCUAAAUGCAGAAGUCCCCAAAUCCAACCGUGUGGGGCAGUUUACUAGGAGCGAAGGCACAGAGCCGUUCCCUGCAUUGAUGCUGAGGUGGAGCAGCCCCAGGGGUUGGGGAGGAACCUCGCUGAGGGAUUUUCAGAGGCAGGAAAUUCUUGAAAUAAGCCUCUGGGUCUUGCACGUUUUUCAGUGUCCUUACUACCUAGGUUCAUCGACCAGAAAUCAAGAGCAAAUGGGCUCUGUGUCUCCCUUUCCCCCAACAUUCUCAGGUGGGGUCACAAGAGACUGUGACAUCACACCACUUCCAUGGUAACCUGCCUCCGUCACAGACACCACCCCACCCGAGCAGCCAAGCACAAACCAAGCAUGAGAGAAGAGAAGCCCCAAAACCACCAGUACUCCGCGCCCCUCACUUUAACAAUGUGAGCAGAAGAGGCCGCCCAGUGCUGGGACCCGGAUAUGAACACACCUAACUGCCAGAAGUCAAUGUGGGCCAUGACGGAGAAAUCUGAACCAGGUUUUAAUUAUGAAACCGGCCUCAAGUCAUUGAUUCUGACAAGACUCCCACCACCGAUGAGCAGACUGUUCCUCCGGAUGCUUGAAUCAAUCAACUUAUUAAAUGCCAACUACCAGGAACGCCAGAAACCAGGCUUUCGUCUCCUAUUGUGGCAGGAGCUUUGUUGCCAAGGUAUGGGAUACUGUACUGUGUGGAUGCUUCUUCCUCCCACAACUGAUUUUACAUACCUAAGAUCACCACUUCACAGCAGUUAGGUUGUGAGUAUAUGGAGAGAAAGAAUAAAACCAGUGGCCCACUGAAUUGCAGUUUACGGUUCCUCAUCCCAACGUAAGUGAACUUUUUUUUUCUCCUAAGAAUGGAAAAAAAGGAAACAGGAUCUUUCGGAGGGGAAAAUUGGGCUGUGUGUUAUAAAAAGUUUUCGCUACCAAAGUACACCAGGGACCAAAAGUGGGCAAGACGUUAAAUGGAACUUCAACGUGUUUUGUCUUUUAACGGAAGAACUUAUGCUUGUAAAACACAUCAGAAGUACAGUGUUUGGUUCUGCAAGUCAUUUCUGUUGUUUUUAUCUUGUAUGUGUGGGGGGGGCAGGGGGCUGGAGGAAGUGUUCUCUCCACCAUGACUGGGCGUGUUUGCAUCAACUUUUCACGGUCAGGCAUGUGCUUUCGAACAAAGGAACAGUGGAGACAGGGAGAGGAGAUUGGGGCUUGACACGCUUUACAGAUUUGGUGCUUAAACAGUACUUUAUAAAUGACUUGCUUAAUUUAAACGUCCAUCACCAUAAGAGACAUUGGAGUAAAAGGAGCGAAUUGGAUCUACUUGAACCACAAUCUUUUUUUGGGGGGGGAGUGGGGGGUGGAGGGGAGAGAGAACCUUAACUCGAAUGCAAGUAUCAUACACCAAAUUCAGUUAACCUCGUCUCCUACAAAUGGACCUGAAGUAUCCACUUUCUUCAAAGAUGAAGGCUGGAGACAAAGCAAUGGACUGAAAUGGAGAGAGGGAUACCAAGGGCUUGAAAACAUAUGGGCCUUUUACACAAGUUUUUGUCAUGUUACAGUAACGCUUUUUUUUCCUUUAGGAAAACUGUGUACGACAAAUUAAAAAAAUUAAAGA